ensembl:lncRNA
CCUGCCCAGGAGCCCUUCCACCCGGAGGAGUGGACCCGCCACACCCUCUACAUCUGGACCGAGCCACACAACAGCAGGCUAUGUGUCUGCUGAGGAAUGAAUAGGGACCAAUGGGAGGUUCUGAUCAGCAGCCUGGGGCUCCACUGCCUAGGAGCUCUGGGAUUAGGGCUAAAUCCUGCCCUGCCAGAUGGGCACCAGCACCACAUCAAUCCCACCCACCACCACCAACCUUAGACCUCAGGGCCAGGCCUUGCUCCCCCUGGCCUGCACUGGGCUCUGUGGACCGGACAAUAGGGAGAUGGAACCCCUUCGGGAGCUCAGAAGCUAAAUGUGGAUUUCUCCCUAAAUACUAUCCCCUGCUGGUCAGCCAUGUUCUCCUCCAGGAGCUGUGAACAGUGAAUCAGCGGCACCCAGAAAACAGGAAGUCCCCAGUCCAGAGCUUCCGGCGACGGUCCCCAGUGCAGAGCUUCCGGCGACGGUCCCCAGUCCAGAGCUUCCGGCGACGGUCCCCAGUCCAGAGCUUCCGGCGACGGUCCCCAGUCCAGAGCUUCCGGCGACGGUCCCCAGUCCAGAGCUUCCGGCGACGGUCCCCAGUCCAGAGCUUCCGGCGACGGUCCCCAGUCCAGAGCUUCCGGCGACGGUCCCCAGUCCAGAGCUUCCGGCGACGGUCCCCAGUCCAGAGCUUCCGGCGACGGUCCCCAGUCCAGAGCUUCCGGCGACGGUCCCCAGUCCCGGAACCUCCGGCGACGGUCCCCAGUCCCGGAACCUCCAGCUCCAUGGCCGGAGCCUUCCCCUGCGUCGAUGUCGGAGUCUUCCUCUGCACAGGUGCCCAGUCCAGGCACGGCAUCCAGUCCAGCUACAUGGCCUGAGCCUUCCCCUGCGCCGAUGCCCAGUCCGAGCACAGCGUCCAGUCCAACUCCAUGGCAGGAGCCCUUCUCUGCCCCGAUGCCCAGUCUAGACACGGUGUCUAGUCCCGUUCCAUGGCAAGUCUUCUUCUGAGUCUUCUUCUGCACCUAGGUCCAGGCACAGUGUUCAGCCUGGGUCCAUGGCUGGAUCUGCGGGAUGAGUGGGUUCUUCGUCCCGCACCAGAGCCGCCCCCGAUGCUGGCGGAACCGUGGGAUGAGCGGGUACUUCGCCCCGCACCAGAGCCGGCACUAGACACCCCCCAUACUGUCAGGUCCUCACCAUAGAGAGCCUUUAUUUUCUAUGGUAGAGUAGGUCAGGGCGUGACUGGGUGAUUAGUCUAGUUUAUAUUCUCUAUGUGGGGUUCUAGGUUGUUUUUUCUAUGUUGGGGUUUUGGUAUGAUUCCCAAUUAGAGGCAGCUGGCUAUAAUUGGGGAUCAUACUUAAGUAGCAUUUUUUCCACCUGUGGGUUAUGGGAUAUUGUUUUUGUUUGGACUUAGUGCACAUAGCACCUCAGUAGUCACGGUUUGUUCAUUUAUUGUUUUGUUAAGUUUCACUAAUAAUAAAGUAUGUGGAACUCAAAUCGC